GACGAAGGGGGCUAGCGUUGUUCGGAAUUACUGGGCGUAAAGCGCGUGUAGGCGGUUGUUCAAGUCAGGUGUGAAAGCCUUGAGCUCAACUCAAGAAAUGCACUUGAUACUGGAUGACUAGAGGACCGGAGAGGAUAGUGGAAUUCCCAGUGUAGUGGUGAAAUACGUAGAGAUUGGGAAGAACACCAGUGGCGAAGGCGGCUAUCUGGACGGUUUCUGACGCUAAGACGCGAAAGCGUGGGUAGCGAACAGG
rnacentral:rRNA from 1 species